rnacentral:tRNA from 1 species
AAGGAUUUAAGUUAAGUAGAAACUUGGAACCUUCAAAGUUCCCAUUAAAGAAGAUCUUUAAGCCUUA